rnacentral:rRNA from 1 species
UACGAAGGGGGCUAGCGUUGUUCGGAUUUACUGGGCGUAAAGCGCGUGUAGGCGGGUCGUUAAGUUGGGGGUGAAAUCCCGAGGCUCAACCUCGGAACUGCCUUCAAAACUGGCGACCUGGAGCAAGAUAGAGGCAAGUGGAAUUGCGAGUGUAGAGGUGAAAUUCGUAGAUAUUCGCAGGAACACCAGUGGCGAAGGCGACUUGCUGGAUCUUUGCUGACGCUGAGACGCGAAAGCGCGGGGAGCAAACAGG